AUUGAACGCUGGCGGCAGGCCUAACACAUGCAAGUCGAACGAGUGGCGUACGGGUGAGUAAUUUCUGGGAAACUGCCCGAUGGAGGGGGAUACCUCCUGGAAACGGUAGCUAAUACCGCAUACCAUCUGUUGUCCCCAGAUGGGAUUAGCUAGUAGGUGGGGUAACGGCUCACCCAGGCGACGAUCCCUAGCUGGUCUGAGGGGAUGACCGGCCACACUGGAACUGAGACACGGUCCAGAAUCCUACGGGAGGCAGCAGUGGGGAAUAUUGCACAAUGGGCGCAAGCCUGAUGCAGCCAUGCCGCGUGUAUGAAGAAGGCCUGCGGGUUGUAAAGUACUGUCAACGAGGAGGCGUUACUCGCAGAAGAAGCACCGGCUAACUCCGUACCAGCAGCCGCGGUAAUAC
rnacentral:rRNA from 1 species